rnacentral:lncRNA from 1 species
UUGACAAGAGGAUAAAGGUGCUCUCCAAGUAUCUGUUUCUGCUGCUCAGGAGCAGCAGAAGCAAGCAAGGUACUCAGCAUUUGAGAUCCCUCAGCAACUGAUCCAACAGAUCCAACUGCAGCAGAACCAGCAUUUGAUGCAACAGAUCCUUUGUUCAUGUCACAAGUCCGGCCAUUGGGCACAUAUUUGAACUGCCCAG